rnacentral:rRNA from 1 species
UACGGGGGGGGCAAGCGUUGUUCGGAAUCACUGGGCGUAAAGGGCGCGUAGGCGGCUUGCCAAGUCAGGGGUGAAAUCCUGCAGCUUAACUGUAGAAGGGCCUUUGAUACUGGCGAGCUCGAGGGAGGUAGGGGUAUGUGGAACUUCCGGUGGAGCGGUGAAAUGCGUUGAUAUCGGAAGGAACGCCGGUGGCGAAAGCGACGUACUGGACCUCUUCUGACGCUGAGGCGCGAAAGCUAGGGGAGCAAACGGG